GACGAACGCUGGCGGCGUGCUUAACACAUGCAAGUCGAACGGAAAGGCCCUGCUUUUGUGGGGUGCUCGAGUGGCGAACGGGUGAGUAACAUGUGAGUAACCUGCCCUUGACUUUGGGAUAACUUCAGGAAACUGGGGCUAAUACCGGAUAGGAGCUCCUGCUGCAUGGUGGGGGUUGGAAAGUUUCGGCGGUUGGGGAUGGACUCGCGGCUUAUCAGCUUGUUGGUGGGGUAGUGGCUUACCAAGGCUUUGACGGGUAGCCGGCCUGAGAGGGUGACCGGCCACAUGGGGACUGAGAUACGGCCCAGACUCCUACGGGAGGCAGCAGUGGGGAAUAUUGCACAAUGGGCGGAAGCCUGAUGCAGCAACGCCGCGUGCGGGAUGACGGCCUUCGGGUUGUAAACCGCUUUCGCCUGUGACGAAGCGUGAGUGACGGUAAUGGGUAAAGAAGCACCGGCUAACUACGU
rnacentral:rRNA from 1 species